CUCUUUUUGUGUAAUUUGGAUGGAAAAUGUGUGCUUUUUAUUGUCUAAAUCCAACUUAUCAGAAGUUGCUAAAAGUUGCCAAAUAAAUGCUAAAUUUGUUGCUGGGUGCUUUUGGAUGAAUUUGUAUUUUUCAACUCUUUUGCCUCUUUUCCUUGAGAUAAGAAGGAGUGUGUAAAGCUCGUGAGACGAAAUGAAGUUUGCAUUCAGUCUAGUUUAUUAUCGCGAGCACCCACGUUGUGUGUGGAUUGGUUUUAUUCCCAUAUGUAGCGCAUAUGGCCGCUCGCCAAAACCACGGUGAGUUUCUCAUUGUAAAGAUUCUAGCUUAAUAGGCGCUGCUUACUAACUGAUAUUGGAAAAGAGGUUGAAAGCGUAGGAACAAAUCAAUAAUAGUAAAUGAGUGCAGAGAAAGACAAACACAUCGGCAUAAUGAGCCCAGCAGGGACCAAAAUAAGUAUGACACUGAUUCAUUAACACGUGUUCCUGAGUUUGCACUGGGGUUUUAAAGCUUAGGCCGUGUAAGAUUUUAGCUUUAGAGGUUAUUGCAGGUCAUUCAGCUGCUCGUCCGGAAACUUGACGCUGUUUGCUUUGCUUUGAGAAUGAGAAUAGGAAUAAAAACUGGAUGCUGUCCACUCAUACUGGAUUUUAAAGGAUAUUACAACAUGAUGUCAAGAAGUUGUUCUGGAGGAAGAAUGCUGAUAAGAUGAGCAGAGAACACAAACAUCUGGACAUCUUCAGCUCAAUUAAAGGUGUUUAUGCUGCAGCUUCAGAUCUGCGUCUCAUCAUCUCGCAGAAGGGCUGGAUUACACUGAUGGAGGCUUUCAAGCAGAAUAUGCUGCCUGUCAAGACGAGACGUCUGGAAGAUGAUGUAGUCAUGAUUCUCUGUUGAGUUUAGAUGCUUAGACAAUUUAAUCAGCAAGAC
ensembl:lncRNA